AAGGGUAAUAAAAGCUUGUUUGACAUUGUUGUGUAAGAGGUAUUGACUAAGGUGAGUGGUUUGACACACUACAUUUAAACUCCAGUACAUAGACUAAGGUAACAUAUGCGAAUCCCUACUUAUGGUAUGCGAACGUUGACUUCUUCCUUAUGCAAAUCCUUGCAAUUUUGGUUGAAUCGUUGAGUAUAUUCAUUGAACAAUUUUAAUGGUGCAAAAUGCAUGAAUUUAUAAUAUAUAUACAUGAGUUUAUUUUGUAUACAAUAUAAAUAUAUUGGGGGUUAUAUAUGAUAUAUAUAAAUAGGGGGAGCUGGUAAAAUAUAUGCGUGAGAUUGGAAUCAUAUAAUAUAUACGAGUGGGGUUCGUUGGUGUAAACAAAUACAUAUAUAUGUGUGCUUUGGGGCUAUAUAAGUAAUGUAUGUGUUAUAUAUAUUAUAUAUGUGGGUUGUACUAUAUAUAUACACGUGGGUGGUUAUGCAUAUUAUAUAUAUAUAUGCAUGACUUUAUCUUAUAUAAUAAAUAUGCAUGGCUUUAUUUUACAUAAUAUAUAUUAACGAAUUUUGGUAUUAUAUAUAAUAUAUAUGCAUGGUUAGUAUAUAUAUAAUUAAGGGAAUUGUUUUAUAUAAUAUAUAAAUUUGUGAGAAUUUCAAUGUAUGCUUAAAAUUUGAAGUGAUAAAGGUCAUUAAAUAAAUAUGUAUAUAUAUAAUAACUAUUCGUAUAUUAUUUUGUAAUAUUUAUGGAUGAAUAUAUGAAUAAAUAAUAUAAUGUGGACUCCUAUAACAUGCAAAUUUGAUCGAUAAUGCAUAAAUAUGCAUGCACGAAUCCGUAAGUAAAUUAUGAGAUUUAUGAUAUAGAGAGCCAAUUAUAUUUGUGUAUUGUGUUAUAUUGUGAACAAUGUUAACUUGGCGAAUUAUAUUAUUAUGACAAACUGUGUUAAUUUGGUAAUCUGUAUUAAUAUGGCGAACUACAUUAAAUUUCCAAACUAUGCAUUGUGAGAUUUUAAGUUGCAUUGUAUGUAAGCUAAGGUAUUGCGUGUCCUAUGCUAAAUAAAACAUGCGAACAAUGAUUUAUGUGAGCUAUGUCAUGAAAUUUGGAGAGUCACUUCGGUGGCUAAUGUGACGUUCGAAAUUUGGGUCGGACCGUCCCAACUGAGUUUGGGGCAUCACAAUGGUAUUUCAUAUGCCAAGUCUUUAAAUCAGGUCAUCGAUUGAUAUCAAUAACUUUUUGUACUAAUUUAAGGGUGUCCUCGCCUCAACCCUUCCAGUUUCUUAGUGGUUGGCUACUCCAUAAAGAAUUCAGUUUUAUGGUAAAUGAGAACUGGUCAAGUGGAGGUUUUUUGGCGGAGUUAGUUUUGAAUUUUUUCGAGGCAACAAGAAAGUGGAAUAAAGAAGUGUACGGGAAUGUUGUGUAUAUGAAAAUAAAGCUCAUGAAUAGAAUUGAUGGCAUUGAGCGACUUUAGAAAAGUUUCGAUAUGCUAAACUUAUUAAGAUUGAGAAUGACCUACAAACUAAACUAGAAAGUAUCCUGAACAGAGAGGAGAGCCUUUGGAGAUAAAAAUCCCUAAAGGAUUAGCUUCAAUUAAGGGACUAGAACACAGAUUUUUUCAUUGUAUAGCCAAUUCUCGAAGGCGGAUGAAUGAGAUCAAGGCUUUGAAGCUUUCUAAUGGUGAAUGGUGUUACGAUGAAGAGAAACUCUAAGGAGAGAAGCUAUUUUAUUCUUUUAAAAUAUCUAUACAGUGGAGGCGCAUACAUCGAGAUUGUUUUCUGUUCAAAUGAAAUUUCCUUUUAUUGAGACGUCUUUAUUGAAUUAUAUUGUGAGGAAUCUCACUAGUCAAGAAUUUUGGUAUGCCUUGCUUAAGAUGGCACCGCUCAAAGCUUCGGGAGUGGAUGGGCUACAUGCGCAGUUCUAUUAAAGUCAGUGGAGUAUAGUUGGUGAAUCACUUGUAUCCAUAGUCCUAAAGGUUUUUGAGGGAGGUAACGUCGAUCAUUUUCUUAACAGGACUUUGAUAAUGCUUAUCUCUAAAGUGAGGUCGCCGAAACUUAUCUCUCAAUUUAGGCCGAUUAGCCUAUGUACAAUUCCAUAUAAGGUUCUUUCAAAGGUGUUGGUGAACUGACUAAAGCCUGUUAUGCCAAUCUCAAUUGAUGCUAAUCAAACUAGUUUUGUGAGGGUUCAUAAUAUAAUGGAUAAUGUUGGAUGGCAGUGAAAAUUGAUAUGGAGAAAGAGUAUGAUAGAUUGAGAUGGGAUUUUAUUGAGGAAACACUUGUUAAUGCGUAGCUUCCUGCAAAUUUAGUCAAAAUUAUAAUGAGUUAGGUGACCUCUGCGUUGAUGUAGAUCCUAUAGAAUGGUUGCUUCACAGAUGAGUUCAUUCCUUCUAGAGGGGUUAGAUAGGGUGAUCCCAUCUCUCCAUACCUAUUUGUUUUAACCAUGGAGAAGCUAGGACAUGCGAUAAAUAUGUAUGUUUCUAACUGCAAAUAGACCUAUUUGGUUGGGGAGAAGUGGUCCUCCCAUUUCUCAUCCGUUUUUUUUUGCAGAUGACCUUGUAUUAUUUGGGGAAGCGAAUAAGGAUGCAACCGACUCUAGGGAAUCUGUAUUGGAGCAGUUUUGUAAUUUUUCGGGCCAUAAAGUGACUGCUGGGAAGUUUAAAAUUUAUUUCUCGACAAAUACGGAGGAAUCAGUUAAGGGGAUGAUUAAUGAGCAAUUGAGGUUUCAAGACGUAGAUGAUCUCGACAAUUAUUUGGUAGUGCCUCUAUUCCAUCAUAGAGUC
rnacentral:lncRNA from 1 species